rnacentral:misc_RNA from 1 species
AACAUCGCGCACCUGCGGGAACCUGCGGAAGGAUCAUUAAUGAUUGGUGGCUGUUGCUGACUAGUGUUUCUAGUAUGUGCACGCCACACCUUCAAUCCCACUUACACCUGUGCACCUUCUGUAAUAGAUCUAUGUGGAUACGGAGAUGUGAAGGUUUGCGCUCUCCUACUCUGUUGAAGCAGUCUACUACGUUUUUUUACACACACACACACAAUAGUCAUUGAAUGUAUUUUUUAUUCU